rnacentral:rRNA from 1 species
AAGCCCUCAUGGGACACAAUGACGAUGCCUCGAGACAUGGGAGGCCUCGGCUUCUGGGAUUUUGAGGUAUUCAACCUAGGUAUUUUGGCCCGAUAGUCAUGGAGGAUCCUAACAAGCCCAGAGUCUUUGAGUGCUCGCGUUCUCAAAGCGAUAUAUUUUCCUUGUUCUUCGAUCUUGGAUGCUAACUUGGGAAAUCAUCUGUCCCAGGUGUGGUGCUCUAUACUAGAGGGAAGAUACAUUAUGAAACAAGGAUUGGUUAAGCAAAUCAGAAAUUGCACAACCACAGAGAUAUGCAACACAAAUUGGAUUCCAAGACCGAAGCUAAUAUAUAGGACCAUUAGUUUGGAGAGUUGUGGACCCUCCCCAACUGGUCUUUGA